CUGAUUUCAGUUGUGUGUGGAAGGAGGAGGUCUUCAGUCUACAGCGGUCUCUUUAGGAAUACUGGAGUCCUGGUUUGCAUGCUGUGUGCAGAAGACUAAUGCAGCUGCAGGGCCUGCACAGUGGGAAGUGUUGCCAUGGUGAGCUGGGUUAUCGGGCCCUGAGAGAGACCGUCCACACAGUCCUCAUGACACAGCAGCUGACAGAGUGAGACGUCCACAGGGAUCAUGUCCACUGGGAACAGUGCUGUGGAGGCAGAGCCUAUGGAGAGCCACAGUGACAGUGUCCAAGAACAAUGUGUCUGCUAAAGUCAUCCAUGUGUGACGGGCUAAGGAAGAGGGAUCUUACGAGGUGUUUGUUUCUCUAAGGGCUGUCA